rnacentral:tRNA from 1 species
UUAAUUGAAACCAAAAUAGAGGUAUAUCACUGUUAAUGAUAAAACUGAGCUCAACUCCAAUUAAA